AGAGAUCAUACUGUUGACCUCACUCUGCAGUAUGUUGACACUGAAUCUAAGGGCAGUGGACGAACACUUAGAGGAAGACCCUCAUUUUCAGAGGCAAUUUAUGCCAAUAUAUCCCAUGGCAACCUUUAAGAAUCCCUCUUUGCUGAUCUUUCUAUCUACUGUAUCUAUCUAUCUAUCUAUGCUACUGUAUAUUUUGUGCUUGACUGUUCUGUAUAACUGUACUGUUUAUUUAAAA